rnacentral:rRNA from 1 species
GACGAACGCUGGCGGCGUGCCUAAUACAUGCAAGUCGAACGCAGUGGGGACGGGUGCGUAACACGUGGGUCACCUCCCAUCAGAGGGGAUAACCCUUGGAAACAGGUGCUAAACCGAUACUGAUGGAUGGACCCGCGGUGCAUUAGCUAGUUGGGGAGGUAAAGGCUCACCAAGGCCACGAUGCAUAGCUGACCUGAGAGGAGGACCAGCCACACUGGAACUGAGACACGGUCCAGACUCCUACGGGAGGCAGCAGUGGGGAAUAUUGCACAAUGGGCGCAAGCCGGAUGCAGCCAUGCCGCGUGUAUGAAGAAGGCCUUCGGGUUGUAAAGUACUUUCAGCGGGGAGGCGUUACCCGCAGAAGAAGCACCGGCUAACUCCGUGCCAGCCGCCGCGGUAAUUC